AGUUUGAUCCUGGCUCAGGAUGACCUCUGGCGGCGUGCUUAACACAUGCAAGUCGAACGAAGCACAGAUGUAGAAUUUCUUCGGAAAGGAAGCGCCUGUGACUGAGUGGCGGACGGGUGAGUAACGCGUGGGCAACCUGCCCCAUACCGGGGGACAACAGCUGGAAACGGCUGCUAAUACCGCAUACGUUUUCGGUGCCGCAUGGUGCCGAAAAGAAAACUCCGGUGGUAUGGGAUGGGCCCGCGUCUGAUUAGCUAGUUGGGAGGGUAACGGCCUACCAAGGCGACGAUCAGUAGCCGGCCUGAGAGGGCGACCGGCCACAUUGGGACUGAGACACGGCCCAGACUCCUGCGGGAGGCAGCAGUGGGGAAUAUUGCACAAUGGGGGAAACCCUGAUGCAGCGACGCCGCGUGAGCGAAGAAGUACCUCGGUAUGUAAAGCUCUAUCAGCAGGGAAGAAAGUGACAGUACCUGACUAAGAAGCCCCGGCUAACUACGUGCCAGCAGCCGCGGUAAUACGUAGGAUGCGAGCGUUAUCCGGAUUUAUUGGGUUUAAAGGGUGCGCAGGCGGACUGUUAAGUCAGCGGUAAAAUGUCGGUGCUCAACACCGGCCGGCCGUUGAAACUGGCAGCCUUGAGUGAGCGAGAAGUAUGCGGAAUGCGUGGUGUAGCGGUGAAAUGCAUAGAUAUCACGCAGAACACCGAUUGCGAAGGCAGCAUGCCGGCUUCCUACUGACGCUGAAGCACGAAAGCGUGGGGAUCGAACAGGAUUAGAUACCCUGGUAGUCCACGCGGUAAACGAUGAGCGCUAGGUGUCCGGGGGGAAUGGCCCCUGGGUGCCACAGCGAAAGCGUUAAGCGCUCCACCUGGGGAGUACGCCGGCAACGGUGAAACUCAAAGGAAUUGACGGGGGCCCGCACAAGCGGAGGAACAUGUGGUUUAAUUCGAUGAUACGCGAGGAACCUUACCCGGGCUCAAACGUUGCAGGAAGGGCUUCUGAAAGGAAGCCCGUCUACGGACCUGCAACGAGGUGCUGCAUGGUUGUCGUCAGCUCGUGCCGUGAGGUGUCGGCUUAAGUGCCAUAACGAGCGCAACCCCUACCGCCAGUUGCCAACAGGCAAAGCUGGGGACUCUGGCGGGACUGCCGGCGCAAGCUGCGAGGAAGGCGGGGAUGACGUCAAAUCAGCACGGCCCUUACGUCCGGGGCGACACACGUGUUACAAUGGCAGGUACAGCGGGAAGCCACCUGGCGACAGGGAGCGGAACCCGAAAGCCUGUCUCAGUUCGGAUUGGAGUCUGCAACCCGACUCCAUGAAGCUGGAUUCGCUAGUAAUCGCGCAUCAGCCACGGCGCGGUGAAUACGUUCCCGGGCCUUGCACUCACCGCCCGUCA
rnacentral:rRNA from 1 species